GGCCAUCAGCUCAGUCGAUGCCCGUAUCGUACCCAGAGCUGCAAGCCCUCUAUCAGCCCUCAUCCCGGACACCUAAAUGCAAGACUCCAUCCCUUUAGCACAUCUCACAACAGUGUUCUCAAAGCUUUUCCUGAACAAUUAUAGACCCUGUCAGUGCUGAACUAGGAUGAAAAUCUCAACCCCUGUCCUCUUACGAUGUCCUCUUCUGCUGUUUCAAAAUCCACCUUCGCUUUUGGGGCUCUGCUGGGAACUGAAGGCGCUGGAGUGACGUGCAAAAAGCUGCACAGGACACGGAGGCUGCUGUGUGCAGAGAGCUCCUAACAUCACCCGCCCUCCCUCCGGGCCCCACCAUGACACUAACCCUGAAAGCAAGAAGAGCGGAGGCUGUUGCAGGCAGCACUAUUGAUUUUGGCACCCAGGCUCCCCAGCUCACGAGCACGUGUUGAGCUGGUGGCAGGCCCUGCCACCUGAGUCACUCACACGCAGGAGUACGUCAAUUAAACAAACAUCUCGGUUAUCAGCACCGAUAAGACGCGCAGCCGUGGGAGAUGGUCCCACGUGGCACUACGCAUCAGAAGAUCUCUGAGGCAGGAAAGCCAGCCAAAGUCCUCCGCUGGCCCUGUCACGCAGCCUUGCUCCACCAGGUCCGAGAAGUCUCAGUGGAUUUUAGAUAACCUCCUGACAGAAAUAAUAAGCGCUUCAGAUGAUCUUUUCUGACGAGCAUUUCCAUAACUUCCUCAACUGCCUGAGUCUGCAAAAUGGGGCUGAGAGGGAGCGUGCCUGCGAGAUUUCUGGUACCCUCUGCUUUUGAUCACAGUGGAAAUAAUCUGAGAGCAGGUUUUCAAGGAGAAACACACCGUUUCUUCUUCUGGAUGUCAAAAGGCCACAAGCUAAUGAAAAAGAAUGAAAAGGGCACCAUUAAUAUAUACUGCUUCUGCAACACUUUUCAUCCAAGGAUCUCAAAGCAAGGGUGACAGGUGGCCAUUAUUAACCCCACUUUUCAGGGGAAAUAACAAAGCCUUGGCAAGGUUAAGUAACUUGCUCAGAACUACGUGCCAAGUCAGUGGCAAGACACAGAAGAAAUGGAAGAAAACCCUGCAGUCCUGGCACACUGCAUUUGUGAAGUCCGCCUCCAGAACAGAAUAUAAAGGAGCGCAUUGGCAGUGUGGUCCAGGCUGUGAUGUUGGGUGCUCAGGAUAGGUGUCAUGAAGCUGUAGGCUGUGGUGUUUUGGUGCAGAUCUGGACAUCUGUGCUGCAGAUGAUUCCAUGCUGGUGAAGUGAAUGCCACCAUCACCGUUUUAAUUGCACUUGUUUGCAAGUCCCUAGCAGCGUAGCAGGGACAUUAAAGCAGAAGUGGU
rnacentral:lncRNA from 7 species